GUGGUUUAAUUCGAAGCAACGCGCAGAACCUUACCAGUCCUUGACAUGGGGAGUUUGGUUUCCGGAGACGGAUUCCUUCAGUUCGGCUGGCUCCCACACAGGUGCUGCAUGGCUGUCGUCAGCUCGUGUCGUGAGAUGUUCGGUUAAGUCCGGCAACGAGCGCAACCCACAUCCUUAGUUGCCAGCAGUUCGGCUGGGCACUCUAGGGAAACUGCCCGUGAUAAGCGGGAGGAAGGUGUGGAUGACGUCAAGUCCUCAUGGCCCUUACGGGUUGGGCUACACACGUGCUACAAUGGCAUCUACAGUGGGCAGCUAUCACGCGAGUGUGAGCUAAUCUCCAAAAGAUGUCUCAGUUCGGAUUGUUCUCUGCAACUCGAGAGCAUGAAGGCGGAAUCGCUAGUAAUCGCGGAUCAGCAUGCCGCGGUGAAUACGUUCCCAGGCCUUGUACACACCGCCCGUCACACCAUGGAAGUUGGCCACGCCCGAAGCCGUUACUCCAACCCUUGUGGAGGAGGACGUCGAAGGUGGGGCUGAUGACUGGGGUGAAGUCGUAACAAGGUAGCCGUAUCGGAAGGUGCGGCUGGAUCACCUCCUU
rnacentral:rRNA from 1 species